rnacentral:piRNA from 1 species
UAGGAGGGUGUCUAGGGGUUGCCAAAGGU